UGGGAGGCCAAUAGAUGUCUGUUUGUUUGGUAGAUAGAAUCUACCGAACCCCCAGGCAGAAAUACAUGAAUAAACCUUUCUGCAUAGGAAAAUAAAGUAUUUAAAUGCCAGUCCAUAGUUAAAAGGCAGCAGGCAGGCAACCAGGCUCCUCCAAUGCACAGUGGCGAGAUUGGUCUCGUCACAGUGACCUUUGUGGGACUUCCCCUGUGGACCGUACUUGAUCAGUUGAUAGACCCCGUUGUUGUAGCAGUUGAGAUACU